ensembl:rRNA 5S_rRNA 5S ribosomal RNA
AGCAGCUGCGAUGCAAGAGGAAGGCACUUGGUCUGUCUGAACCUAAGCAGGGUUGGGCCUGGUUAGUACUUGCAUGGGAAACUGCUUGGGAAUACUGGGUGCUGCUGGGC